UUCCGGUUGAUCCUGCCGGAGGCCAUUGCUAUCGGAGUCCGAUUUAGCCAUGCUAGUCGCACGGGUUUAGACCCGUGGCAGAUAGCUCAGUAACACGUGGCCAAACUACCCUACAGAUCGGCAUAACCUCGGGAAACUGAGGCUAAUACCGAAUAGUGCUCCCAGACUGGAGUGUCGAGAGCGCGAAAUGCGCCAGCGCUGUAGGAUGUGGCUGCGGCCGAUUAGGUAGACGGUGGGGUAACGGCCCACCGUGCCGAUAAUCGGUACGGGUCGUGAGAGCGAGAACCCGGAGACGGAAUCUGAGACAAGAUUCCGGGCCCUACGGGGCGCAGCAGGCGCGAAACCUUUACAAUGCACGAUAGUGCGAUAAGGGGACUCCGAGUGCGAGGGCAUAUAGCCCUCGCUUUUCUGUACCGUAAGGUGGUACAAGAAUAAGAGCUGGGCAAGACCGGUGCCAGCCGCCGCGGUAAUACCGGCAGCUCGAGUGAUGGCCAAUCUUAUUGGGCCUAAAGCGUCCGUAGCUUGCCGUGCAAGUCUUUCGGGAAAUCCAGUGGCUUAACCACUGGGCUUCCGGAGGAAACUGUUCGGCUUGGGACCGGAAGACCCGAAGGGUACGUCUGGGGUAGGAGUGAAAUCCUGUAAUCCUAGACGGACCACCGAUGGCGAAAGCACUUCGGGAGUACGGAUCCGACAGUGAGGGACGAAAGCUAGGGUCUCGAACCGGAUUAGAUACCCGGGUAGUCCUAGCCGUUAACGAUGCUCGCUAGGUUUGACGCAGGCUACGAGCCUGCGUUGUGCCGAAGUGAAGACGUAAGCGAGCCGCCUGGGAAGCACGUCCGCAAGGAUGAAACUUAAAGGAAUUGGCGGGGGAGCACUACAACCGGAGGAGCCUGCGGUUUAAUUGGAUUCAACGCCGGA
rnacentral:rRNA from 1 species